CAUAUGCAUUCAGAAUGUCAUCGGAAGGUUUCACCAUGAGUUGUUCUGCAACGACAUUUCAUUCCAUCUUUUGCUUUUUCUUUCCUUUCCCAUAAAUUAAAGGUUAUUAACGGAUACCCAUACAAAAUUAUCAUUUUCCUCAUCUAUGGUUAUACUGCUCCGCAUUCAAUUGAAUCUAAACUGAGAUCAUGAAGAAGUGACCUCAUACUUCUCAACCCAAUAUGCGUAAUUGCUUACUCACCAAACUUCAAUCACGUUUGCAACUAUUUCUGAUACUUAUAAUCUUACUUCUGUUCUAUGCCAGAGGCUAUAAACAAAACUAAUAAAACUUGACAAGGAAUAAGUUGAACAGAAUCCUAAUCAGUGCAUACACAAACACAAAAGCAACAGAAUAAAUUGCAUCCCAUAUAUCAUAAAUAAAACUUUAAAAAUAAAUAACAAGAAAAUUACGAUUAAAAUACGAAGAAAAGUCGGCAAAUCACUCUGUAUACACCCAUAAAUUUUAAUAGAGAGAUGGAAAAAGUUACGUACUCGGCAGGGGAAGACAUUGAAGACAAGGUAAGCUAAAUUGAGAUGGAGAAAAUGGCUCCUUGGACUAAAAAUUUCGAAAAUGAUAGUUG
rnacentral:misc_RNA from 1 species